AGCGAACGCUGGCGGCAGGCCUAACACAUGCAAGUCGAACGCCCCGCAAGGGGAGUGGCAGACGGGUGAGUAACGCGUGGGAACGUACCCUUCGGUUCGGAAUAACUCAGGGAAACUUGGGCUAAUACCGGAUACGUCCGUGAGGAGAAAGAUUCAUCCCCGAAGGAUCGGCCCGCGUAAGAUUAGCUAGUUGGUGAGGUAACGGCUCACCAAGGGUAUGAUCUUUAGCUGGUCUGGGAGGACGAUCAGCCACACUGGGACUGAGACACGGCCCAGAGUACUCCGGGAGGCAGCGGUGGUGAAUAUUGGACAAUGGGCGCGAGCCUAAUCCAGCCAUGCCGCGUGAGUGAUGAAGGCCUUAGGGUUGUAAAGCUCUUUCGGCGGGGACGAUAAUGACGGUACCCGCAGAAGAAGCCCCGGCUAACUUCGUGCCAGCCGCCGCCGUAA
rnacentral:rRNA from 1 species